rnacentral:rRNA from 1 species
UACAGAGGGUGCGAGCGUUUGUCCGGAAUCACUGGGCGUAAAGGGCGCGUAGGUGGCCCGACAAGUCCGUGGUGAAAGCUCGACGCUCAACGUCGAGUCGGCCAUGGAUACUGUUGGGCUGGAGCACUGUAGAGGCUCAUGGAAUUCCGGGGUGUAGCGGUGGAAUGCGUAGAGAUCCGGAAGAACACCGGUGGCGAAGGCGGUGAGCUGGGCAGUUGCUGACACUGG